UCCCUAAAACUUGUGGGGUCCACAGCCGUCUGGGUCACUUUUAUUCUGAUCCUCAGUAUUGUUUAAAGCCUAAGAAGAUUUCAUUGCUGCACAGUUAAAUCGUUUUGUGUGUGUGUGUGUGUGUGUGUGUGUGUGUGUGUGUGUGUGUGUGUGUGUGUGUGUGUGUGUCUGUCUGUCUGUCUGUGUCUGUCUGUCUGUCUGUCUGUCUGUCUGUCUGUCUGUCUUUGUAUGUGUCGUGACACUGACACAAUCAACUGUCACCAACAGUAGUGAUUAAACUCCACCUCACAGCCGAACAAUUAACUGACAGUAUAUUGAUUCAAUCGGAGGUUUGGAGUGUGGGCAGCCUUCAGUAGCACGAUGAUCCAGAUCUACAAAUCAAUUCCGAUUCCCUAUUAAGGUGGUCUUGAAGUAAAGCAAGUAGGGCUGCGCCUGGAGGAUGCACUGGAUGCACCUGGGUCUCAGCAGUCAAAGGCUGGACAAGACGCAUGAAGCUGAACCCGUCUCUGACAUUUCAGGUUCAGUGUGUGUAUAUCUAUGAGGGCCGGGGCAUCAGGUUGCCACAAGAUAAAAAGCUGCUGGUGGAGUGAGACGCGGGAGAGAAAGACCAAAAACCCAAUUAAUUAAGAUGAAGAAACUUGGCACGUUAGCGCGGGGAAAUUACAGCCUCUCCAAACCAGCGCUGUGAGGAGGCUACAGGUAAAUCAGCCUGGCCGUUACAGGGAAGGACUACACCUCUUUUAUCCCCAUGGAAACCACACCCAUCAUGACUGACAGAUGCAACGCGGCAAAUCAAGCAGCAAGCACAGAAGAUUAAAUUGGCAAUUACUGCACAAGGAAACACCCAAUUAACCCUGUGACAGUUAGAGUGAGCGCACUCUUGCUCGACUGCGAAGGGAAAAACGCGCUCCUCUAAUUUCCCCACAGAGACGAUAAAGAGGUAACAAAAAGCCAGAGGCGAGGAGCCACAAGUCACAGGUCGGACUGAGGACAAUGCAGCUGCAGCGAGAGCCCCCAAAACAUGAAAAGACCAUGACACACGACUUAUAUUAAAAUCAGUUUGUCCGCUUUUGAUCAACAAAAUACACAUUGUUCUGCUUCAGACAAAAAAACACAUCACGACCUACAGUUGAAGCACAAUCGCGUGCAUGACUUUGACACGUCGGGCGUCUGCGUGUUGCGCCUUUUGAAAACUUGAAACUAUGGGUAAUUGACAGUGCUGCUCCUUCAGAGAGGCUCCGCUUGAAUCCCCUCCUGCGACGACUCAGUCAGGGAGGAGGAUGAAAAGCGUGUCGUGAGAAAUGACUGUAGCUGUAGUAUGCCCCCCACAAAGCGUUUAAAGUCAUGCAGGCACCUCAGAAUCGUGUCAGAUGCACUGUAUGUUGACAAAAACUAGUUCUAAUGUUAAAAUGAUCCACAGUUGUUAGGAAUGUAAUGAUGACUGUUUGUGUGGUUUUAUAUGAAUCUGGUUGAAGCUGAUUCAAGGGGAGACCAAGUUUCCCUAUCUCUCCCAUUCCUACUGCAUCGUUUUGUAACGAGGACACAGUAUAUUUGUUGUGUGCCUUGUGAUAAGGGCCGGCCGUGCAGCGAUAAUCACCCAAACCUCUCUGAUUGCAUUUGGACGUUUCGUGAAACAAGGCAACCAAUGACUCCAGCCGUAGCCGCCUGUCAAACAGAGGCUCCUUCCCAUUUUCAUUAUAGAGCUAAUCAGCUGACGAAUGGGACGCAGGACAGUCGUACUGAUCAUCCCAAAUAAUCUAAACAAGGCCAUUAAAGGUGUUCCUCCUUUUAAAAUGCGAGUGCUUUGGCCACUCAUUUAGGCCAAAUUUGUUCUUUUAUAAAACAAUACAAUUGCAGGUAAAAGUCAGAACCACUACUUACAGCUUGAGCCCCAUUAGACCCGUUCCUAAUUUCAAUAUUGUACUAACUAAGACUUGUGUGCAGUGAGUGUGCUUUGUGUGUGUAACACAUUGUUCAGCAUUAUGCGCCGCGCCACCGGCUACCUGCAUAAUAACAUUAAACCUGGAAAUGACUAAUUUGCAGAAUAGGCAUUUGAGCCCCCUCAACGCCCUGAUUGACAGCCGUGUGGGGAAAUGCAGUGUUUCUACCGAGAAUUCGAGCGUUCAGUCACUUUCUGGCGCAUUAGCCGGCAUUUUCCUCUCCAUUAUCGAGCUCUUCACCUGCGGUGCCGGCGUCUAGGAUCAUAAUGUGGUGGUAAUGUUCAACCUGGGAUCUCGUUUACUCAUCGGAACUGGGGCUGUGAAAAGGGUUUCCAGUCGCCACGUUAAGACGUUAAAGUUGAAAUCUUCUUAAAGGGUUGAAGAUAUUUCAAAGUAUCUUGUGUGUAAAAGUAUUUAAAUUAACAGUUUAGUCUGAUUUCUCACACUGUUAUGUUUCUGUCCCUGCUUUCGGAUCCUCUGUUGCCAUUUACCUGCAUCUCUCACACACACACACACACACACACACACACACACACACACACACACACACACACACACACACACACACACACACACACACACACACACACACACACACACACACACACACACACACACACACACACUCUCUUGGCCCCACUCUCCUUGAUUAGCUCUGCUCUCCAGUCAGCAACACACACCUGAUUCCUGUUGCAAUUAGCCUCCAGUGUUCAGAGUCUCCACAUAUAUUCCUCUCCAGCUGGCUCUUUGUGUUCGGGCUUUAGACAGUGUCUGCCUCAACCCGUUUAUUAAGCUCUUUAGUUGAUAAAAUGUCUCUAAAACGUCACCUGUCAGCCUCGUCUGCUAUUGGAUGCCUCAUCAUCUCCCUCAUUAGCGUUUUAACUCUUUUGACGUCGUAAUCAUUUAAAACAGUAGGAUAAAUUGUCAAUGACAUUGACUUGCAUCCACUAACAAAGGCUUAACAUGACAGCAACCCCUCCAGGUCACUGUUGUCUCACCCACGUCGUUGCCCUUUGACGUAGUUAACGGUUGCAUCAGGUUUUACACAGUGCUCUGACCUCCACACCUGAGACGAAUCAAGCGGCCGCAGCUUGAGCUUGACCCCGUGCCCGUCUGUCAAUCAAAAGCACCGUACGCGGUGUCUGCCUUGGCGUGACGUCCGCGCUGCCUUCACCCCAGGAGCGGAUGCGCCAGUGACGCACACUGCACAGAUCACAGUAGACAGCGAGGAGCGCAGAGAGAAGGAGUAAAAAACAGGUAAACGAAAACGGACGAGGCGGAGCCACUCCCGAAGCUGCCGGGGUUUAAUUAGUGCGACGGAAGAACAAAUAAAAGCACAAGGAGCGUUCUUCUCUUCUUUCCACUUUGAGCCGUUGCCAGCACUGUGCUUUAACGUGGAAGCUGUUAUCGGCUCAUUCAUUUCAUGCAAAGGCUGUCAAUUAAUGUCAAAGUCAAAACGGAGACGGACGAAUUCCAGAACCUGCUUCCUGGAAGCGUUCACAGUGACAACGGCAGCAGAAAUGAUCCCUGGUUGGUUUGAAACCAGUG